rnacentral:rRNA from 1 species
UACAGCGGUCUCAAGCGUUGUUCGGAUUCAUUGGGCGUAAAGGGUGCGUAGGCGGCGUGGUAAGUCGGGUGUGAAAUCUCGGAGCUUAACUCCGAAACUGCAUUCGAUACUGCCGUGCUUGAGGACUGGAGAGGAGACUGGAAUUUACGGUGUAGCGGUGAAAUGCGUAGAUAUCGUAAGGAAGACCAGUGGCGAAGGCGGGUCUCUGGACAGUUCCUGACGCUGAGGCACGAAGGUCAGGGGAGCAAACGGG